rnacentral:rRNA from 1 species
GAUGAACGCUGGCGGCGUGCCUAAUACAUGCAAGUCGAGCGAACGGACGAGAAGCUUGCUUUUCUGAUGUUAGCGGCGGACGGGUGAGUAACACGUGGAUAACCUACCUAUAAGACUGGGAUAACUUCGGGAAACCGGAGCUAAUACCGGAUAAUAUUUUGAACCGCAUGGUUCAAAAGUGAAAGACGGUCUUGCUGUCGCUUAUAGAUGGAUCCGCGCUGCAUUAGCUAGUUGGUAAGGUAACGGCUUACCAAGGCAACGAUGCAUAGCCGACCUGAGAGGGUGAUCGGCCACACUGGAACUGAGACACGGUCCAGACUCCUACGGGAGGCAGCAGUAGGGAAUCUUCCGCAAUGGGCGAAAGCCUGACGGAGCAACGCCGCGUGAGUGAUGAAGGUCUUCGGAUCGUAAAACUCUGUUAUUAGGGAAGAACAUAUGUGUAAGUAACUGUGCACAUCUUGACGGUACCUAAUCAGAAAGCCACGGCUAACUACGUGCCAGCAGCCGCGGUAAUACGUAGGUGGCAAGCGUUAUCCGGAAUUAUUGGGCGUAAAGCGCGCGUAGGCGGUUUUUUAAGUCUGAUGUGAAAGCCCACGGCUCAACCGUGGAGGGUCAUUGGAAACUGGAAAACUUGAGUGCAGAAGAGGAAAGUGGAAUUCCAUGUGUAGCGGUGAAAUGCGCAGAGAUGUGGAGGAACACCAGUGGCGAAGGCGACUUUCUGGUCUGUAACUGACGCUGAUGUGCGAAAGCGUGGGGAUCAAACAGGAUUAGAUACCCUGGUAGUCCACGCCGUAAACGAUGAGUGCUAAGUGUUAGGGGGUUUCCGCCCCUUAGUGCUGCAGCUAACGCAUUAAGCACUCCGCCUGGGGAGUACGACCGCAAGGUUGAAACUCAAAGGAAUUGACGGGGGCCCGCACAAGCGGUGGAGCAUGUGGUUUAAUUCGAAGCAACGCGAAGAACCUUACCAAAUCUUGACAUCCUUUGACAACUCUAGAGAUAGAGCCUUCCCCUUCGGGGGACAAAGUGACAGGUGGUGCAUGGUUGUCGUCAGCUCGUGUCGUGAGAUGUUGGGUUAAGUCCCGCAACGAGCGCAACCCUUAAGCUUAGUUGCCAUCAUUAAGUUGGGCACUCUAAGUUGACUGCCGGUGACAAACCGGAGGAAGGUGGGGAUGACGUCAAAUCAUCAUGCCCCUUAUGAUUUGGGCUACACACGUGCUACAAUGGACAAUACAAAGGGCAGCGAAACCGCGAGGUCAAGCAAAUCCCAUAAAGUUGUUCUCAGUUCGGAUUGUAGUCUGCAACUCGACUACAUGAAGCUGGAAUCGCUAGUAAUCGUAGAUCAGCAUGCUACGGUGAAUACGUUCCCGGGUCU